GACGAACGCUGGCGGCGUGCUUAACACAUGCAAGUCGAACGGAAAGGCCCUGCUUUUGUGGGGUGCUCGAGUGGCGAACGGGUGAGUAACACGUGAGUAACCUGCCCUUGACUUUGGGAUAACUUCAGGAAACUGGGGCUAAUACCGGAUAGGAGCUCCUGCUGCAUGGUGGGGGUUGGAAAGUUUCGGCGGUUGGGGAUGGACUCGCGGCUUAUCAGCUUGUUGGUGGGGUAGUGGCUUACCAAGGCUUUGACGGGUAGCCGGCCUGAGAGGGUGACCGGCCACAUUGGGACUGAGAUACGGCCCAGACUCCUACGGGAGGCAGCAGGGGGGAAUAUUGCACAAUGGGCGGAAGCCUGAUGCAGCAACGCCGCGUGCGGGAUGACGGCCUUCGGGUUGUAAACCGCUUUCGCCUGUGACGAAGCGUGAGUGACGGUAAUGGGUAAAGAAGCACCGACUAACUACGUG
rnacentral:rRNA from 1 species